GGGUUAACGUAUUGAUGCAGUGUGUGACUUUGAAGAGGCCACAGACCUGCUCCAGGUUUCUGCAACCGGCCUGUACGGUGAGAAUGCAGCCGCCUACAGCUUCCACACACAGUUUCUCAAGAACUGAGACCUGAAAAUAUGUUAAAAGACAAAGUUUUAAUGGGCAAAGGGUUUUUGAAGAACACCCAGAUGAACAGGCGAAAAGCUCCGAGUCUCUGCAGUUUCAGAGGUUUGAUGCAUCAUAAGCAUGGCAGAAAGGAUGGUGGCACACAGGCAGACAUGGUGCUGGAGAAGGAGCUCCGAGUUCUACAUCUGGAUCCACAAGAAUAGAGAGACGUUCGUGGCUUGAGCAUUUGCAACCUCAAAGCCCACCCCCAUUGACAGGCUUCCUCCACAUAUCCUAAACCCUAUCAAGUAGCACCACCCCAUAAUGAUCAUAUUCAAAUAUAUGAGCCUGUGGGGGGUCAUUUCUAUUCAAACUGCUGCACUCUUUACAGACAUUGAAAUCAAGCCCCUCUCCUUUUUCUGGACCAGCAGUGAACUUGUAAAGAACCCAUGCAAGGUGUGACCUUUAUCUUUCCUCCUUUGAAUGACUGGAAAAAUGAACUACUAGAGGGAGAGAAACUAAGAUAAUUACUAAGAAGAAAAGAAGUACCAGCAGGUUUGAAUGCUUCCUCUUAUCUCGUAUUCCAAUAACUAGAGAGAGAUUAGAGAAUUCACCAACCCAAGUUGCUUUCUCUUACGGGAAAUCACAAUGUUGCCUGUCUUUGAUGAGGCUCUAUCAAUGACAGCUGUUUCUAAACAGUCUUUGAUA